AUCUCUUAUGUACACACUGAUAUAGAUCUAGAUUGCGUAUAUACAUACGAGCAAUGCUACAAACACACCUUUAAAACACAUCUCUAGACACAGUUAAUUGUGUUCGGGAACCGUUAGAUGUACGUGAAUCUCAUGUCCGGAACCAUCAGAUGCACAUGUCUAACGGUUUUUGGACACAACUGUGUCCGCGAUCGUGUUUUAAAGGUGUGUUCCUAGACGUUUUGUAAACAUAUAAAGGCGUUUAACUUUAAGAUAAAUAACAUUAAUAAGUAUGUUUGUGGGUAAUUUUUUCAAUAUGUUUGCACCAAGUUAAAGAACCCAAUUUUUACUUACCCAAAAUAAUAAUAAUAAUAAUAAUAAAGAACUCAAGAAGCACUUUAAAUAAUUUGAUGCGAGCAAAUUUUAAAAAACUAUCUACAGAAGUACUUUAUUUUUUAUCCUCAAAUUGCACGAUUUUUCGUACAUAACUGCAUGUGUUUAUGACUGAUCCUUGGAGGAUUUGCAUGUAAGUGUGCCGAUCUGCACUGAUCUGUAGCGUAAAUGCAUGUGUUUGUAUUGAUCUGUACGUAGGUUACUAAACGGAGCUUGAUACCUACGGUCGUUCAUAGCACGCGACACUUACAUUAUUAUUGGCACAACACUGUGAGCGUGAAAUGCUGCAUGUAUGUAUCCACUGGUGGAGAUAGGAUUUAGAUUCGGCUGUGGCUGAUGUGGCGAUGAAGAACAUUUCAACAAUCAAUAUUUUUUUUUCCCUAUAUUUCUUACUAUAAAACAUUAAAAAAUUCAAUUGCCAAUAUCUUUUUAUUCCUUGCUCAAGAGUCAAGAAAAAAGCAUGCACACAUGUUUUAAAAGAUUCAUCGAUGAAGCAUCAACACUCCUAGAGGUCCGGGACACGCAGAAAACGUAUGGGAUGGGUCCAUCAAAAUUUUUGGGGGUAAAUGUGCAUUACUUAAAAUAUUUUGGGUUGAAAUGUCUUGCAAUAUAUGAUGCUUGUAUGUACAUUUUGUUUCCACUGUUUUUCAAAAAUAUUAUGUACUAUAGUAUUUAUUUUUUCCGUGUCCUCUGUGUCCGUUUCUCCACAUUUUUGGAAAUCCCGUGUCCCGUGUGUGCGUCCAUGUCUCUGUCCAUGCUACAUAGAGAUUGAUCAUACAUCAAAAUUCAACAAAAGUAGUUUAAAGAUAUACUAUAUAUUUUUUGAUCUAAAUUUUACAUUCUUUCCUAAUUAUCUAUCUUUUCUGUUCUGUUAAAAUAAGCAGCGGGCCCAGCCCAUGUACACGUCCUCAAUGUAUGGGUUUUAGUUUUUGACUUUUUGUAUCAAAAGUACAGAUCUGUUACUUCUGAAUGUAUACAUGCGUAUACUUCUUAGAUUGGUCGUACACUUCCACAAGAAGGUGAGGUGCGCAGUGGAUAUGCGGUGUAGUUUUUGCAGUUUCUAUACAAUUUCAGUGCAUAAACUUAUGCCCUGUGUACUGUAUCAUCUCCUAUCUGUGCCUAGGGAGAUCUGUUAGUUUUGAGCUUACCCUUGUGGGAUGGUAGUGGUAUUGGGCCUAUUGGCAGCACAUCAAGGAUAUACAAUAUUUGUUCAGUAUAGAUCAUUUCUUGUGAGCCGAAUGAUACCCGUUGGUUGCAGCUCUAAACUAGCAAUGGAGAUUUUUGCAAUGUAAAUGUUCGAAAUGUAGCCUUUAUGUAGCAUGGUCUUUCUUGAUUAGCUAGGGAUUCUACGAGGCCUUAGAUUAGAAACCAGAUCUGGGCAUGGCCCCAUCUGCACAGAUUAGGGAGAUAUAAGUUGAUACAUUUACUAUUGAUCCAUGUACAGGCUUGUAUGUAUGCAACAGAUACUACCAUCCGGGUUUCGGUAUGUGUCCAGUGUGCACCCAUGUAGAUCUAUAAUCUAUUGCUUUUGCAGAGUGUUGGAUCCAUCCCUCUGUGUUGUCAUUGCUACUACAAACUUGUGUCACAUGUGUGGAUUAUCACUUUGAAAAAUAACAAUUAUAUGUACACAUCUGGUUCUGUGUAGAAACAUGUCAGUUGUUUACAUGACCAUGGUGCCCAUGACUAGUUUGGGUUUCUACUAGUUCUAAUAGGCCAAACCCUAACAACUAGAUUCAAGCAUGGCGGACUUGGUAAAUGCAUUAUUUGGUAUUAUACUAUUAUAGGACAGGAAAUUGUAAUUUUUUUUGUUAAUUUAAGCAACUUUUGUGUGCUAAUGGAUAUUUGUUGGUUCUAGAUAGUGAUAAGUUCACUCAUAGGGUGGCAACUGGCAAGUGGUACUAGUGAGGACAAGAAGAACUGAAGUUGUUGUCAUUGCCAAUGCUAAUUGUUACCCAAUUUGGUGUUCUUCUUGCUUUUUCAUCAACCAUAUCUAUAAUACUGGUACAAUGUUAGGCCGAUUCUUAUCAAGAAAGAAUUGAAUUAUAGCCCUCCCUAAGCGAUGGAGCUCUAGUGAAGAAAUGUAAAUGCCGUAAUUUGCAUUAGCGUGAACACGACAGGGUCUUUCACGAGUGAAUCUAUUUAUCAUGUUUUGUCAAGUGCCAUGUCUGUUGCUUCUGGUUCCAUUGGCACUUUUUUUCUUGUUAAACUUGGGAACCAGCUAAACUUGGGCCUUACCAUAAAACGAGAGAUAGAUUCACCAUGGUGGAGAUUGUUGUAUUUCGCUCAUAUUUUAAUUGGCUCAUGGAAGGUAUUAAAUGUGUUUACAAGUCUUGUAUACUUCUUCCUCACCUUCCCUCUUUCUGCACCACUCCAUGCCCAUGGUAAUAACUAAUAAGUGGAUGAUAUGUGAUAUGCCUUCCACGCCAAUAGCUCCAUUCUUUGGUUUAUGUAAGCAUAGCAGCCAGUAUUGAAGGCAUUUACUGCUUUGCAUCUAGCCUCCAAAGUUGAGAAUAGGAGUCAAGUGUAACAAUCUUCUUCAAGGCGAAUAUUUGAAGAAUUAUCAUAAGCCAACAACUCCACGGGUCCACAAUCUGCCGCAUUAUAUAAAAUAAGUCGCUUUGUAGAUUCCACUAUUGAUAUCUUGAAUGCUGUUUCUUGAAGCUAUCUGCUCUGAAAGCCUCUUAAUUGCUUAACCCUGUGUAUUAACUGACAUGUAAUUUGUCGUUACUAACAGCUUUCAUUUCUUUGAGAGUUUCUUGCAUGUUGAAAUAACCAACUUGAUCAACUAGAUGUAUUAUCCUUGUGAUUGCCAAAUUGUUCUCUUAGGCCCUGAAGAGUUUAUUUGUAUGUCGUUGCUAUACUUUUGGAUGCAUUUAAUUGUCUUGGGAGAUGUGGGUCCUACUUUAAGAGUGUUUUUGAAGGAAUCAUUUUCCCUGGAGUCACUUCCUUUUUGAAGUAAACAUUGUGGGAGUUCCCUUUGGUUCAGGGGCGGACCCACGUUGGGGCACGUGCCCCCACGCCUUUUU